GCCAGAAUGGUGCAGUGGUUUGAUCAUUAGAUUACAACUCUGGAGACCAGGGUUCAAAUCCCUGCUCAGGCA